AUAGCUAUCCUAACAGGUGUGAGGUGAUGUCUCAUAGUUUUGAUUUGCAUUUCCCAGAUUUACAUGGUUUACAAAUGUUUUCUACCACUCUGUAGGCUGCCUUUUCAUUUUGUUGAUUGUUUCCUUUAUUGUGAAGCAGAUUUUCAGUUUAAUGUAGUCUCACUCGUUUAUUGUUGCUUUUAUUGCCGGAUCUUUUGGUGUGAUAGCCAAAGAAAUCAUUGCCAAAGCCAACAUCAAGGGCUUUCUCCCUUUGUUUUCUUCCAGAAGUCUUGUGUUUUCAGAUCUUACAUCUUUAAUCCAUUUUGAGUGGGUAUUUUUGUGUAUGGUAUAAGAUAAGGUCCAGCUUCCUUCUAUUGUAUGUGGAUAUCUAGUUUUCCAGCACUAUUUAUUGAAGAGCUAUCCUUUCUUUCCACAUUGUUCUUUUGUGAGUCCAUAUGAAUUCUAGUAUUGCUGUUUCUAUUUCUGUGAAAACAUAAUUAAAAUUUUAUAGAGACUGUUUUGCAUAUGUAUGUUGUUUUGG
rnacentral:lncRNA from 1 species